rnacentral:rRNA from 1 species
UACGUAGAAGGCGAACGUUAUCCGGAUUUACUGGGCGUAAAGCGGGUGUAGACGGUUUUCUAAGUCAGUCGUGAAAUCUCCCGACUCAAUCGGGAGACUGCAAUUGAUACUGGAGAGCUUGAGGGCAUCAGAAGAAAGCAGAAUUCACGGUGUAGCGGUGAAAUGCGUAGAUAUCGUGAGGAAUACCAGUGGCGCAAGCGGCUUUCUAGGAUGCUCCUGACGUUGAGGCCCGAAAGUGUGGGGAGCGAAACGG